rnacentral:misc_RNA from 1 species
AUUCCUCUCAACAAAACUGAGGUUUAUUUCUUUACUGUAAUUAACCCAUAAAUCCCCAAAUGACAAAUACAGAAAAGCAAUAAAUGAUGCAAACCCAAUAAUUGGAUAAAACAAACCAUUUCCUGCUAACAUUCUGUUCAUAGAUGAUUUAACCAUCACCACUAAAACAACAACCCCACUAGUAUUCAAGAAUCCUUUUGAAGUUCAACAACCAUAAAAAUACUAACUUUAACCUCUAAAUCUAAGAUUUUG